CUCCACUUACAUAAGUUAUGAAGAAUUCACAUUGAAAUUGCAUUUAGACAAUCAAUUAUAAGGACACCGAGGGACAUAAGCUCAAUUUAGGGACAUCGAGGGACAUAAGUUCAAUUUAGGGACAUCGAGGGACAUAAGUUCAAUUUAGGGUCAUCCAGUACAUUAAUUCAAUAUAGGAACAUCGAGGGUAUAAACCCAGUUUAGAGACAUCGAGGGACAUACCAUUAAUUAGGGAACAUAUACUCACCAAGAGGUACGCCCACAUCCACUCCACAAAGAAGGGCAAUCCAUUCUCUUUGAAAUCACAAAUUGACCACGUUUGUCACAGAUACAUAUUCCAAACCCAACUUUAUUUAAAUGUGACACAAAGGAUGCAUCAAUAUUACAUUUGAAUCACCCAGGAGUCGAU
rnacentral:lncRNA from 1 species